UGCACAGAGAAAAUCAGAUUUCAUGUGUGAGACGCCGACUAAAAAUGUAAUUACUUUAUUAGUUAUAUUGUAAAACUGGCCAGCAUUUUCAAUCAUGUCUAUCUGAAAUGUUUCUAUGAACGCUGACUAAAAAUGUAAUUACUUUAUUAGUUAUAUUGUAAAACUGGCCAUCAUUUUCGAUCAUGUCUAUCUGAAAUGUUUCUAUGAACUUAAAUUCUGGGUUGUUCAAGAUUUCCAUCUAUAUUAUCACAUAACAUUUUUUAUCAACUUGGCUGUUUUAUUUUUUUUUUAAAUAAAAACAUGGUUGUCCAGAUUUUCAUCUAUAUCACUACAUAACAUUUUAGAUCAACUGGUAAAAUUGCUCAUAUUCUGACCAUAUUUCACAUAAUUUGUUAAUGCAUGCAUGUAUACUAUAAUUUAUUAAACAAAGUGAUGUCUUUGUUCUUUGGCAAACCUUUCUUGUCGAGGAAUCAACAUCAGCAGGUAAUCUGAGCCAUGCAGAGAAUGCAAGGGAUUCAUAGACGGUAACAUUUGGUGAAUGGAUGUCAUUUUGCUCACAGUAUCCUGAUAUACGAGCAAAAGUUUCUUGUUUCUUCGGGUAACCUGAUAUGGUAAUGUUGCCCUCAAUGUAUCCACUGGUCUUCCUCCCAGCCAACACAUCCAUCAGUGUGGUCUUGCCAGCACCACUGACACCCAUAAGAGCAGUAAGUACUCCUGGCCUAAACGAACCACUUAUACCUUUCAGUAGUUCCAACCGGGUCUCUGUGACACCUUGUGCUCUGAUUGCCUACAUGUUUUAUUGGAUAUAAAUAAACUGUUAUAAAUGAUUGCUUUGCACUUAGAUGGUAUGAAAACAUACAAGAAUCUGCAAGAAUGUUUGUAUUAAUUUCCUUAAACCAGCCCUUUGGGCUGGUAUGAGUGCCUUUGACUCCAUUUUUUCUUAGUAUAAUGAUGUGCAGUUCUUACUCGUGUUCGGUACAAAAAUUAAAAAUUUCCUUAAAAAGUGAAUACCUCUGGCAUGUCCACACUGUAUCUUAUAUCUUCAAAAGUGAUGGAGAGAGGUACAAAAGGGAGGACCAUUCCUUUGUUGACUUGACUAGAAUUUACUGUCGCUUCAUCAUUGCUCUCAUCCAAAGUACCUGAUAGCAUAUCACAUAUGCAAGGUUGUCAGGCACAUCAAUAUAUUCUUAUGUAAUAUUAAUUAACGAAGAUAAAACAAUAAUUACUUCUAGCUGUUACUGUAGUGUUGGCAACCCGUCCUCUCGAUGAUGCUUCUAAAACUUCACCGGUUAGAUUUGCUUGUUUUAUCUUCAACGUCUCCUCAGAAAUUGUUGGUUGAUUAGUGUCAAAUGCUGCAGGGAGCAUAAUUUGUAAGGGUUGAAUUUGAUUGUUUGCAGUAUGCAUUUUUAAUGUCCAUGUAGAUGCAGAAUACCAUUUACUCACGCUUGAGGAAUGUGAGGCAGAUAGUGUAGAGUAUAUUGAAUAGCAGCACAUAUCCAAACAAGGCACCCACACCAAUCCAGUACCAUUUUGCCUCAGGAAAAAGUCCACGAGAUUCUAGAACUAGUUUUCCAAGUGGUUCUGCUGAACCGGGGUUUGCUUGCUGCAUAUAAGAGUAUCAAUAAGCUUUAGUCAUUAUUCGUUAACUAACUUGUGAAGGUUAUACCUUUCUUAAAAUAUAUUUUACCUUAUUCCAGCUGCUACCCAGGAAUUCAUUUACUGAUAUGGCAUUUUGUGCAUACAUCAGGGGUGAUAUCCAGUACCCCCAAAUCCACCAUUUCUUCACAUUCUCUGUUAAAUCAAAGGAAUAGUUUAAUUCAAGAAUUCUUGUAUAAGUACCGCUGCCAUAUCAGAUGAAUAAUAGCUGAAAUUAGAAAGUUCAAGCCAUGUUUACAUUUAAACACUAUAUUUUGAGUUAGCUGCUUUUGCAUAUACCUCUUGCCAGGAGGAAUCCACCCAAAAGCAUGCAUAUCAGAAUGCCGAAUGAACCAAGGGUGCUUGCAACAACCUGAUGCCUUGCAAGCCCGGCAAUGAAACGGAACAAUCCUGAUGAUGCCUCGUUCAUUAGUAAGAGGAGCAGGAACUGCCUAAAAAGUCUGCAGCAGGUUUAUCAAAUUUGAUCAGGUUCUGUAAUGCACUCAUAAACAUGCUGCUCUGGGAUAGAAAUUUUGGUUUCCAUACCUUUCUACGUUGGGAUCAAAUCCAAUAACAUAGUAUGUUAUGAAGACCCAAAUUGUUACAUUCAGCAAGGAGAGGGGAGUCUUAAUGAUCCAUGAUGGCAAGGAGUAUGUCCAUGCAGGGUAGAAGAGAAGAUCCCUUUGCUUGAAGAAAACUGGGAGCUUUGCAAUAGUUAGGCCAACUUCUGCCAGUCCAUUGAACAUGAUCAUCAGGAUCCCAAAGAACAGGGCACCCAUGUAUAUCCUUCCAUCUGUUACUGAGUCACGAUGCAUAUUGGUUCGGAGAAAGACGGUCAUCGUAAUGAGUGCCAUGAGUGUUAGCUGAACAAUAGGUAGUAAACAAAAAGGAGUUGUCAUUUAAGUUCUCAUGGUGUGGCCAACAUAAUUUGAAUCUGAAAAGCCCUGGUUCUCGAGAAUCACCUGAACUGCCUUGAAUAUGUAUACAAAGGAAUUUCUUUUCAUUAGCAAUAUCUCUCUGUCAAUAUUUGCUUUAAGUAGCUCUCUCACGCUGGCGCCAUAUUUUGAUGUUUUCAGAGCAGCAGGAUGACUCGUACUCUUGUCAAAUGGGACUGCCAACUCAUUUCGUAUAGCCUCACCAACAUGGAAAGAUUGAAAUGCUUCUGCAAACUCCUUCACGGGGACAUAUCGGUAGGUGUCAUCACCAUGUUUCCAGUAUUGUCUCUGAUCUUUCUUUGAUGUAACCUAUCACAUUUCAAUUAUUGCUCGUCAAACUUGUGCACUAAUAUACCCCAAAAAAAGAUCAGCACUACUGAAUAAUAUGAUCCUAGCAUUACAUAUUUCUGAAAUGUGUACUUCGUUAGGUAUUUCGAGAUCUUUUCUUUUUAAUUAAAUACCCUUCUAGAAAAAGCUUGAUGCAGAACUGUAAUGAAAGUACAGAACUCACUUCCUGCAGGAAGUCGGCUACACCUUUCCGCUGCGGGCAUUUGAAGCCAACUGACUCAAAGAACUCAAGAACAUAUUCACGAGGACCAUUGUAGACAACCUGACCAUCUGAGAGAAGAAUUAUAUCAUCAAACAAUUCAUAUGUCUCAGGUGCAGGUUGUA
rnacentral:lncRNA from 1 species